UACGUAGGGUGCGAGCGUUAAUCGGAAUUACUGGGCGUAAAGCGUGCGCAGGCGGUUUUGUAAGUCAGAUGUGAAAUCCCCGGGCUCAACCUGGGAACUGCGUUUGAAACUACAAGGCUAGAGUGUGGCAGAGGGGGGUGGAAUUCCACGUGUAGCAGUGAAAUGCGUAGAGAUGUGGAGGAACACCGAUGGCGAAGGCAGCCCCCUGGGUUAACACUGACGCUCAGGCACGAAAGCGUGGGGAGCGAACAGG
rnacentral:rRNA from 1 species